GAUGAACGCUGGCGGCGUGCCUAAUACAUGCAAGUCGAGCGAACAGACGAGGAGCUUGCUCCUUUGACGUUAGCGGCGGACGGGUGAGUAACACGUGGGUAACCUACCUAUAAGACUGGGAUAACUUCGGGAAACCGGAGCUAAUACCGGAUAAUAUUUCGAACCGCAUGGUUCGAUAGUGAAAGAUGGCUUUGCUAUCACUUAUAGAUGGACCUGCGCCGUAUUAGCUAGUUGGUAAGGUAACGGCUUACCAAGGCAACGAUACGUAGCCGACCUGAGAGGGGGAUCGGCCACACGAGAGCUGAGGCACGGACCAGACUCCUACGGGAGGCAGGAGUAGGGAGUCUUCCGCAAUGGGCGAAAGCCUGACGGAGCAACGCCGCGUGAGUGAUGAAGGUCUUCGGAUCGUAAAACGCUGUUAUGAGGGAAGAACAAACGUGUAAGUAACUGUGCACGCCUUGACGUUACCAAAUCAGAAAGCCACGGCUAACUACGU
rnacentral:rRNA from 1 species